UUUUUUUUUUUAUAUAAUUUUUUUCCUUAUGUCUUUUAAGCUCUCUCUCUCUCUCUCUCUCCUCUUCUUCUUCUUCUUCUUCCAUGCAUGGUUCUCUUGAGAUGGUUGGUGGUUUGAAGGAUGUGGGGAUGGAGCUCCUUGAAGUCCAAAUGAGGGCCUUGGAGGGGUAGAUAGAGCUGCUGGUUUAUGGAUUCCACUGUCCUAUUCCAUGAUCUUGCUGGUGAUAUAUAUAUUAUUAGCACUGCAAGUGGUGAUCAGAGAUGGAGAGAAAUGAUUGAUUGUUUGGGAUAGGCUUGUGGUUUGCAUAACCCGGGAGCUGCAUUAGCCCUGCCUGACCCUUGUUUGGAUUGAAGGGAGCUCUACACCUUCUCUCCUUAUUUUUUCUCCAGUCCCAUCUCUCUCUCUCUCGUCCCGGGGGGUGGAGGGGUUUGUGAGAGGACUUGAUUCACCUCUUGGUGGGAACAUAUUGUAAGAUUUAUUUCGUUUUUCUGAUAUAAAGGAGUGAAUACAGCAUCAGAGUUCGUUCUAUGGAGGCCUUAUAUUUGUGCAUGAUUUCCUGCCUGUUACUUCUGACUUCUAAUAGUGGUGCCUAUUUUUGGUUGCUUACAUGGGUUUCUGGUGUUCUUGUGCCUGUUAGAUUUUCUUCGGUUGUUAUUGGAGCAUUUGAUAUUUCUCAUUUUAUUUAUAGUUUUUUUAGCCAUCUUUCCAUUCUGUUCUUGAUUAUAUGGGGCCUUAUUCGAAACCCGAAAAAAAAAAAAAAAGAGGAAGGGUUCCAAAUGGACAGCUCUUUUAACAGGGGUUGGUUCUUGUCCUGCUUUGCAAAGGUGGUGUUUCUUAGGUGGUGUCGUCAUGCAAUAGUGUAAGGAAUGUUAGCCAUGGUUCAUGAAUCAACGGCCGUUCUAAAGUGUUUUCCGGCAAAACUCUUAUCAAAUUAGAUUAGAUUUUUUCCUCUUUUUUUUUGUUGGGGUGGGGGCUAAGAAUCCAUUUCAUUUUUUAGGGGGGCACACAAGUUGUAUUCUUAUCGGAUGGCAAAGGGAUCAAAUCUUUUUGUUCCAGAGCUUUUAAUAUAUGGUUAGAAUCUGCUAACAGCCAAAUCCAGCUUUUUGACAACUUGUGGGUGCCAUAAAGAAAGGUUCUGUUCACAACCGACCUUUUUUUAAACUAUGUUCACGACUGAUUUAUGCUAGCAUGUGAGACCACUAAAUUGGUUUGCAAGGGAUAUUCCACUCUUGAUAAAAGAGGAUGUGCAAGGAGGAUAUUAAAAGACUGGGUAUAUAUAGCACUUGUGUUAAAGUUGCCAGCUUGCAGCUUUGCAGUGUUAUGUCAUGUCAAGGUGAAGAUACUGGGAUCCGAGUCUUCUUGGUCUGUUAUUUUGGAUAUGGGUUUGCUUAGGGUUAGAGAUGGUUUUUAUCAUUAUUAGUGGAAAUUGAUGAGCAAAUCAGGGUUGCAACCUGAUGCUAUGUCUUAAUUAAGAGGGUGCAACCUAAUCCGGUUAGGGAUUGGAAUCUUUCCAAUGUAACAAAAUCCUGUCUUUGAGCUCAAUUUGGUGCCCCCCUUAGUGGACUGGAUUGGGUUGUUUGUGUUAUGUCAGUUUAUAAUGGAUAUUUCAUUUUUGGCUACUUUAUAUUAUUCGAUCUUAUUUGGUAGGAUAAGGUUUCUUCCCUGUUCCGCAAUCACAUCGAAUAAAACUGGCUUCUUUAUUUACAACUCAAUAAGAUAAGGUUGAGAAAAUGAGAGCCCAACUAAGAUUAAUUAUUCUGGAUUCCCGAUCUAAAUGUUUCGUUGUGGAAGGUUGCUUAAGUUCCAAGAAGCCGUUUUUAAAGUCUUAUUUUGUAAUGAUGGUUCGUGCUUCUGGAAAACCAUCCGUACCUUAGGUGCAUCCUCAUUUGAGCAAGAUAAAUAUUCUUGUUGGGUAAUUAAGUUCGAAGGCCCAUCAAUCAUGAUGUGGACAUGGCCCACGUCAAAAGAUGAAUCAGGGAUGUUGAUGGUCCGAUGGCUCGCAUGUCUCUUGUUUCAGGUUGGGCUAUUGAUGCUGUACCUGGAAGUAUGUCAUUGAUAUCCGUAAAUUGAAGCACCCUAAUCACAUUUUUAACCCGGUGGAAUUGGAGAUGUUUCCAUGAUGCCGAUAAGGCCAAAAGAACAAGCGAAAUCUUCGGAGAGAUGCUGCAGGAGCUCUAGUUACCACCCUCACAAACUGUAUCUGUAUCUGUUUUCAUGUUAAUAUUUUAUGACCCAUGACGGUCGUAGAUGAUGUUAUGGAUCACAAGUCCAUAAACAAUGGGAACCGACAAACUUUGUUGGGGGGAUAAUGGAGGUCUGAUUGUUUUUUGGAUGUGUAACCUAAAAUCCAUUUGUUUAAACUGUAUAAUUGGCAUUACCUGAAUUCCUUUGGUCCACCACUCGGCGCAUCAUUCCACGGAUGACAGCCGUCAUCGUCGUCGUCAUCACUUUAACCAAAACGAUAUUAUUCCGAUCAAAUAAAUAAGAUAUAAUAUGAGUUUGACGGCACUGAAAAGAUAAAGGUGCCAUGUGCGGCAUCUUUCCUUCUCCGGCGCUGUUCUGCUUUGAGAAUUGCCAAUCUCGUCUGGUAUAAAAUCCCCUUUCUAUCUCACGAACCAAGGCA